rnacentral:rRNA from 1 species
UACGGGGGGGGCAAGCGUUGUUCGGAAUUACUGGGCGUAAAGGGCUCGUAGGUGGCCAACUAAGUCAGACGUGAAAUCCCUCGGCUUAACCGGGGGUACUGCGUCUGAUACUGGAUGGCUUGAAUCCGGGAGAGGGAUGCGGAAUUCCAGGUGUAGCGGUGAAAUGCGUAGAUAUCUGGAGGAACACCGGUGGCGAAGGCGGCAUCCUGGACCGGCAUUGACGCUGAGGCGCGAAAGCCAGGGGAGCAAACGGG